rnacentral:rRNA from 1 species
CCUACGGGUGGCAGCAGUGAGGAAUAUUGGUCAAUGGACGCAAGUCUGAACCAGCCAUGCCGCGUGCAGGAUGACGGCUCUAUGGGUUGUAAACUGCUUUUGUACGAGGGUAAACGCAGAUACGCGUAUCUUUCUGAAAGUAUCGUACGAAUAAGGAUCGGCUAACUCCGUGCCAGCAGCCGCGGUAAUACGGAGGAUUCAAGCGUUAUCCGGAUUUAUUGGGUUUAAAGGGUGCGUAGGUGGUCGGAUAAGUUAGAGGUGAAAUCCCGAGGCUCAACUUUGGAAUUGCCUUUGAUACUGGUAGGCUAGAGAGCAGUUGCGGUAGGCGGAAUGCAUGGUGUAGCGGUGAAAUGCUUAGAGAUCACACAGAACACCGAUUGCGAAGGCAGCUUACCAAGCUACUUCUGACGUUGAGGCACGAAAGCGUGGGGAGCAAACAGGAUUAGAUACCCGGGUAGUC